UGGUCAAUGAUGACAACCCAAUGUCAUGAAUAGAGGUGAUGACAUAAAAUUCAAGCUCAAUAAAAUUACGCUGAGGCCC